rnacentral:sRNA from 1 species
AGCAGCCGCGGUAAUUCCAGCUCCAAUAGCGUAUAUUAAAGUUGUUGCAGUUAAAAAGCUCGUAGUUGAAUUUCGGGAUCAGCAGGUCGGUCGUGCCAAUGGUAUGCACUGGCCUUGCUGAUUCCUCCCUCUUGAUGAGCCGUAAUGCCAUUAAUUUGGUGUUGCGGGGAAUCAGGACUGUUACUUUGAAAAAAUUAGAGUGUUUAAAGCAGGCAAGCGCUUGAAUACAUUAGCAUGGAAUAAUGAAAUAGGACGUUCGAUCCUAUUUUGUUGGUUUCUGGGAUUGACGUAAUGAUUAAUAGGGAUAGUUGGGGGCAUUAGUAUUCAAUUGUCAGAGGUGAAAUUCUUGGAUUUAUUGAAGACUAACUACUGCGAAAGCAUUUGCCAAGGAUGUUUUCAUUAAUCAAGAACGAAAGUUAGGGGAUCGAAGACGAUCAGAUACCGUCGUAGUCUUAACCAUAAACUAUGCCGACUAGGGAUCGGAUGAUGUAAUUUUUUAAUGA